rnacentral:rRNA from 1 species
GAUGAACGCUGGCGGCGUGCUUAACACAUGCAAGUCGAACGAAGCACUUUAUUUGAUUUCCUUCGGGACUGAUUAUUUUGUGACUGAGUGGCGGACGGGUGAGUAACGCGUGGGUAAGCUGCCUUGUACAGAGGGAUAACAGAUGGAAACAGCUGCUAUUACCGCAUAAGCGCACAGCAUCAAAUGAUGCAUUGUGAAAAACUCCGGUGGUCUAAGAUGGACCCGCCUUGUAUUAGCUAGAUGGGGAGGUAACGGCCCACCAAGGCGACGAUCCAUAGCCGACAUGGAAGCGUGGCCCGCAACAUUGGGACUGAGACAAGGACCAAACCCCUACGGGAGGCAGAAGUGGGGAAUAUGGCACAAUGCGUGAGAGACGGAGGCAGCCGGGCCGUGUGAGCGAAGAAGUAGUGCGGUAUGUAAGGCUCUAUCAGCAGGGAAGAUAAUGACGGUAACUGACUAAGAAGCAACGGCUAAAUACGUG